rnacentral:rRNA from 1 species
UAAGCGGAGGAAAAGAAACUAACAAGGAUUCCCCUAGUAACUGCGAGUGAAGCGGGAAAAGCUCAAAUUUAAAAUCUGGCGGUCUUUGGCCGUNCGAGUUGUAAUUUAGAGAAGCGUCUUCCGCGCCGGACCGUGCACAAGUCUCCUGGAAUGGAGCGUCAUAGAGGGUGAGAAUCCCGUCUUUGGCACGGAUGCCCGGUGCUUCUGUGAUGCGCUCUCGAAGAGUCGAGUUGUUUGGGAAUGCAGCUCAAAAUGGGUGGUGAACUCCAUCUAAAGCUAAAUAUUGGCGAGAGACCGAUAGCGAACAAGUACCGUGAGGGAAAGAUGAAAAGCACUUUGGAAAGAGAGUGAAACAGUACGUGAAAUUGUUGAGAGGGAAACGCUUGAAGUCAGUCGCGUCGACCGAGACUCAGCCUUGCCUUGGCUUGGUGUACUUCUCGGCCCGACGGGUCAGCGUCGAUUUCGCUCCUCGGAUAAUGGCAAGGGAAAGGUGGCACCUUUACGGGUGUGUUAUAGUCUCCUGUCGCAUGCGAGGGGUGGGAUCGAGGAACUCAGCGCGCACCUUGGUGUCGGGGCUUCUGCCCACGUCACGCGCUUAGGAUGCUGGCGUAAUGGCUUUAAACGACC